rnacentral:rRNA from 1 species
UUAAAUUGAAGAGUUUGAUCAUGGCUCAGAUUGAACGCUGGCGGCAGGCCUAACACAUGCAAGUCGAACGGUAACAGGAAACAGCUUGCUGUUUCGCUGACGAGUGGCGGACGGGUGAGUAAUGUCUGGGAAACUGCCCGAUGGAGGGGGAUAACUACUGGAAACGGUAGCUAAUACCGCAUAACGUCGCAAGACCAAAGAGGGGGACCUUCGGGCCUCUUGCCAUCGGAUGUGCCCAGAUGGGAUUAGCUAGUAGGUGGGGUAACGGCUCACCUAGGCGACGAUCCCUAGCUGGUCUGAGAGGAUGACCAGCCACACUGGAACUGAGACACGGUCCAGACUCCUACGGGAGGCAGCAGUGGGGAAUAUUGCACAAUGGGCGCAAGCCUGAUG